rnacentral:tRNA from 1 species
GGAUCGAUAGCUCAGUGGUAGAGCGAGAGAUUGCAGAUCUCUAGGCCCCGCGUUCGAACCGCGGUCGGUCCUUCCA